UUUAUAAUUUUUUUUUUUUUUUUAUAUUAUAUAUAUUUUAUUAUAUUUGAUUUUUCUUUUUUUACUUAUAAAGAUAGAAAAAAAAGAAAAAACAAAAAUAUAUGAAAAUUGUAUUAUUUUAAUCUUUUACUAUAUUAUUAUAUAUUGUUAUGUAUAUAUAAUAAUAUAAGUAGGAAAAAUAAAGGAUGGGAAGAAUCCUUUUAAUAUUUUGUUUAUUUGUUUCUUCUUUUUUGUUUUAAUUCUUUUAAAAUUUAUGAAAGAGAAGAUGUAAUAUAUGUAUAAGUUAAAUAUAUAUAUAAUAUUUAUAUAGAAUUAUCCACAUUAAACUUUAUUUCUUUCUUUUUUUUUUUUUUUUUUUAUUGUUAUAUUGGAAAUUUAUACGGUGCGUACUAUAUUAAAUUGUAUGUGUACAACAUGAAAUUCAUUGUAUUAUAUAUAUAUAUAUAUAUAUAUGAAUAUAAUUUAAAUAUAUAAAAUAUAAUUAUUAUAUAUAUGAAGGGGAAAAAAAAAAAAAAAAUACACAUGGAAACACAAAAUAAAUAAAUUGUAAUAAAUUGUUAAUAUAUAUAUAUAUAUUUAUAUAAUAUUUCUGUAAUUUGUUUUAGAAUAAAAAGAAAUGAGAAAAUUACAAAUGCAGAAAUUUUUUGAAAUAAAUAUAUAGAAAGUGUAAAGCUUAUUAAUAUCAUAUAAUUUUAAGUAACAUAUAAUCAUAUAUAUAUAUAUAUAUAUAUAUAUAUAUAUAUAUAUACAUUUCAAAUUAAAUAAAUAAAUGUAGAAAAUAUGUCUAAUAUAACAUCAUUUAUUUGUCUAUAAAUUUUUGAAAUAUUUAUCCUUUAUAUAUAUAUAUAUAUAUAUAUAUAUAUAUAUAUAUAUAUAUAUUUAUUUAUUUAUUUAUUUUAUUUUUUUAAGGAGAAUUAAUAAGUAUGUACCUUUUAUAAAAUGCAUAUAAUAAAGAGAAAAAAAUAUACUUGUACAAAAUGGUAAACAUUAAAUUGUAAAAGGUCAUGUUUUUUUUUUACCCUUUACAUAUUUUAUAAAAUUGAAAAAAAAAAAGAAAAGGAAAAAAAUAUACAUUAUUUAUAGAAACUAAGAAAAGAGGAAUCUCCUUUAAAAAUAUAAAUAAGUAGUAAGAAUUAUAAAUAUAAUGUUAUGUUAAUAUAUAUAUAUAUAUGCAAAUUGUUAUAUAUUCGUAUACAUCAGUCAUUUUACCUCUUUUCUUUUCUGUUCACUUACAUUGUAAUAUAAAGAAAAAAGAAAAAAAAGAGGAAACCAAAAAAUUAUAUAACUAUAUAAUUUUUAUACAAAUAUAAGUAAUAUAUAUAUGUUCAUAAACCGGAUAACAAUAUUUAAAUAUGCACUUUGACUUGUUGGUUUAUAUAAAUUUCGUUAUUUAUUUAUUAUUUUUUUUUUUUUUGCGUAACCAUAUUUAGAAUAUGUGUAUUGUGUGUGUCUAUAUAGAUCAUUUUAUUAAAUGAUAUAUAAUUUUAAAAUAUUUUAUUAUAAAAAGAUUAAACCUCUAUUAAAAAAGACAAAAGAAUAUAUACAAAUAAAUAUAUAUACAUAUGUAUUUAUAUAUAUAUAUAUAUAUAUAUAUAUAUAUAUAUAUAUAUAUAUAUUUUUUUUUUUUUUUUUUUUGCUUCUCUUUCCUUUUUGGUAUAUAAUAUUUUAACAUUAUGUAGGGGAAAAAAAAAAAAAAUAAUUACGUAAUAUAUAAUAUAUCAAUAUAUGUAAUAAAACUCAUUUUAUUAUUUUAAAUGUAUUUAUCUAUCUUUGUCUCAGAAAAUCAGAUUUGUUAAUAUAUUAAUAAAGUAUAUUUUGCGUCUUAUUUAUUUUAUAUUUUGUUUUUUUAUAAAGCACAAAAGAUAAUGUUCAUCCAUAUAGAAAAGACCACAUUUUUAAGCAUAAGCAUAAAAGCAUUAUUAUUUAAUGGUAUUAUCAUAUAUAAGCAACUUAUUAUUUACAGAAAAAAAAAAAAAAAAAAAAAAAAAAAAAAAGCAUUACUUUUAUACUUUUUUAUUAAUAUAUAUAUAGAUAUAUUAUAAAUACAUGUUAUACAUAUUCUAUAUGUACGAAAUAAGGAAAAAUAUUAGGUACAUAAAUUUUUAUAUACAAAUUUAUUUAUGUACACAAAAAAAAAAAAAAAAAAAAAAAAUAUAUUAAUUUCCGUAAUAUAAUAAAAGUACAGUAAAAAUGUGGUGUACGUACAAUUUAUGAAUACUACCCUUUUCUAAUUUAUAAAAGAAAUAAAUAAAAACAAAAAAAUAAAUAAUAUAAAUAAAUAAUAACAUAAUAACAUACAAUGGAAAAUAUUCAUUUUUAUAUUUCAAUAAUUUUCCCCUAUGAAACAAACCAAAAUAUGCAUAUUUAUAUAAAAUAAUACAUAUUUUUUUGUUCUUUUUAGAAAUAUAUAAAAUACAUAUUAUUAUAUAUAUCUUUUGUAGUACACCCUUAAUAGCUAUUAUCAUGCAUAUAAAGAAAAAUAAAUUACUGUAUAAAAAGAUAUAUGUACAUAUACAAUAUAUUAUUCUUGUAUUUUUAUAUUUAAAAUAAUAUAAAUAUAUGGUUCAAAUAUAUUAUGAUCCUUAAUUUUACUUUAUAUAAUUUUAAAAGGAUAAAUUUAUUUAUUUAAUAAUCUUCCUUUUUAUCGAGCUCACAUAAAUAUAAAUAAAUAAAUAAAUAAAUAUAUAUAUAUAUAUAUAUAUAUAUAUUAUGUAUGAUUAUAAAAUCUGAAAUAUUAUAUUAUGUUUUAUUAUAUUAUAAAUAUAUAAUAAUUUAAAAAAAGCACUUGCUUUUUAUAUAUUAAUAAAUAUAAAUACAUACAUUUUUCAUAUUUUUUUAUUAUGUUUUACAAUAAUACAUAUAAAAAAAAAAAAAAGAAAAAUUUAUAUAUAAUUGUUAGUUUUAUAUAAUAUGCCUUAAAUUUUUUUUUUACGUAUUUUUAAAUGGAACAAAAUCGUCUCAAAAGAAAAAAAAAAAAGAAAAGAAAAGA
rnacentral:sRNA from 1 species